UACGUAGGGGGCUAGCGUUGUCCGGAAUCAUUGGGCGUAAAGCGCGCGUAGGCGGUCUGUUAAGUGUAGAGUGAAAUCUCCAGGGCUCAACCCGGAAACUGCUCUGCAUACUGGCAGACUGGAGUGAUGCAGAGGUUUGUGGAAUUCCUGGUGUAACGGUGAAAUGUGUUGAUAUCAGGAGGAACACCCAUGGCGAAGGCAGCAAACUGGGCAUUAACUGACGCUGAGGCGCGAAAGCGUGGGUAGCAAACAGG
rnacentral:rRNA from 1 species